rnacentral:rRNA from 1 species
UACAGAGGGUGCAAGCGUUGUUCGGAAUUAUUGGGCGUAAAGAGCGUGUAGGCGGCUUUGCAAGUCGGGUGUGAAAGCCCUCAGCUCAACUGAGGAAGUGCGCCCGAAACUGCAGAGCUUGAGUGCCGGAGAGGGUGGCGGAAUUCCCCAAGUAGAGGUGAAAUUCGUAGAUAUGGGGAGGAACACCGGUGGCGAAGGCGGCCCCCUGGACGGUAACUGACGCUGAGACGCGAAGGCGUGGGGAGCAAACAGG